UUAGCGGCGGACGGGUGAGUAACGCGUGAGCAACCUUUCCUUUACAGGGGAAUAACGCACCGAAAGGUGCACUAAUACCGCAUGAGACCACAGCUCUGCAUGGAGCGGUGGCUAAAGGAGCAAUCCGGUGAAGGGUGGGCUCGCGUCCGAUUAGCUAGUUGGCAGGGUGAUAGCCUACCAAGGCGACGAUCGGUAGCCGACCUGAGAGGGUGAUCGGCCACAUUGGAACUGAGAUACGGUCCAAACUCCUACGGGAGGCUGCAGUGGGGAAUAUUGCACAAUGGGCGCAAGCCUGAUGCAGCGACGCCGCGUGAGGGAUGGAGGCCUUCGGGUUGUAAACCUCUAGCAAGGCACUUUGUGUUGAGUGUACCUUUCGAAUAAGCACCGGCUAACUACGUGCCAGCAGCCGCGGUAAUACGUAGGGUGCAAGCGUUAUCCGGAUUUAUUGGGCGUAAAGGGAGCGUAGGCGGAUUUUUAAGUGGGAUGUGAAAUACCCGGGCUCAACUUGGGUGCUGCAUUCCAAACUGGUUAUCUAGAGUGCAGGAGAGGAGAGUGGAAUUCCUAGUGUAGCGGUGAAAUGCGUAGAGAUUAGGAAGAACACCAGUGGCGAAGGCGACUUUCUGGACUGUAACUGACGCUCAGUCCCGAAAGCGUGGGGAGCAAAUAGGAUUAGAUACCCUAGUAGUCCACGCCGUAAACGAUGAGUACUAAGUGUGGGGGUUUCAACACCUCCGUGCUGCAGUUAACGCAGUAAGUACUCCGCCUGAGUAGUACGUUCGCAAGAUUAAAACUCAAAGGAAUUGACGGGGGCCCGCACAAGUAGCGGAGCAUGUGGUUUAAUUCGAAGCAACGCGAAGAACCUUACCUACACUUGACAUCCCUUGCAUUACUCUUAAUCGAGGAAAUCCCUUCGGGGACAAGGUGACAGGUGGUGCAUGGUUGUCGUCAGCUCGUGUUGUGAGAUGUUGGGUUAAGUCCCGCAACGAGCGCAACCCUUGUCGUUAGUUACUACCAUUAAGUUGAGGACUCUAGCGAGACUGCCUGGGUUAACCAGGAGGAAGGUGGGGAUGACGUCAAAUCAUCAUGCCCCUUAUGUGUAGGGCUACACACGUGCUACAAUGGCUGGUACAGAGAGAUGCAAUACCGCGAGGUGGAGCCAAACUUAAAAACCAGUCUCAGUUCGGAUUGUAGGCUGAAACUCGCCUACAUGAAGCUGGAGUUACUAGUAAUCGCGAAUCAGAAUGUCGCGGUGAAUACGUUCCCGGGUCUUGCACACACCGCCCGUCA
rnacentral:rRNA from 1 species